rnacentral:rRNA from 1 species
GACAGAGGGUGCAAACGUUGUUCGGAUUUACUGGGCGUAAAGCGCGUGUAGGCGGCUUGGCAAGUUGAAUGUGAAAGCCCACGGCUCAACCGUGGAAGCGCAUCCAAAACUGUUUCGCUUGAGUCUCGGAGAGGAAGGUGGAAUGCUUGGUGUAGAGGUGAAAUUCGUAGAUAUCAAGCAGAACACCUGCGGCGAAGGCGGCCUUCUGGACGAUGACUGACGCUGAGACGCGAAAGCGUGGGGAGCAAACAGG